rnacentral:lncRNA from 1 species
AUCUUCCUUUACAUCAUGGUAGAACCAAAAGUACACGGACAAAUACAUCAAUGAAAUGAAAAACCAAAAUCGUCAGAUCAAAAAAUUACUUAAAAGAACAAAAUAAUGUACAGAAAGAAGAAAGAGUAAACAAGAGACAAACAAAGAAACCUAUUAGAUUAGUUUAGGGAAAGUUGCGAUAAAUUUAUCCGUUACAAUAUUGAGUAUACUUUCUAGAUUCUGCCAAUUCAUAUUUAGGAUAAACCCAAUCAAUUUUGAAUGUCGGGCUAUCGGCCAUCCUCUAAGGUAACUGUCAACUCAUUGUUGGAGUUGAUGUAUGGUUUACUAGACGACGAAGUUGAUGUGCUACAAGCACGUGUUCUUGCUGUAAAAGCAGGUUUAUUAGGUUUUGGAAGAGAUGUGUUUUUAUUACUAAGCAUUAUAGUUACAUCUGGCAUGCUUGGACGAAUGCCAGCAUCUUCUUGGACACACAAGAGCGCAAUAUUAAUGCAUUUUAAUGCAUUUUCCUCAUUGCAUGAUUCAAGUAAUGAUGCAUCAACUAAACUCAUAACAUUUUCUUCGUUCCAUAAUCUCCAUGCCUGAAAUGUUACUUUAGAGUUAGGAAAAGAGGUAAUACAAUUACCAAUUAACUAAAGAUUCAAAGGAAAAGAAAAAAGAGAAGAGAACCUAGAGUUUAAGAAAUCUUCACUUACAUAACCUAAGAGGUUUAAGGCUUCGUCCCUGUGAUAAAAUCCUGUUUUUCUCUUGCCACAUAUUAUCUCAAGCAUAACUACUCCAAAACUAAAAAUAUCUGACUUGAUUGAGAAUAAUCCAUUUAAUGCAUAUUCCGGGGACAUGUAACCACGAUAAAACAACAAGUUAUUAAUAAUAUCACCAAAAAUUUUAAGAAGAAACCCUAACAUCAUAUGUCUUCCACUUGGGGGGGACAAACACCAAUUACAUCUGAAACUUUAGGAACAAUGGCCUGAUCAAUUUGCUCAUGAGGUAUCACUUGCCUACUCAGCUCUUUAUCACCAAUAGCCUCAUGAAUAUCCCUAAAUUAAAGCUCAUAAACAGAUCCUAGACUAGGGUUUACUGUUGGACCAAUUGUAGAAUUUACUGUUCCAUUGAGAUCAACAAUCUUACAAGCAACUGUUUGAUGCUCUGACCCCACUGAAUCAUCUAAUACCCUUAUAUUAGUGUUGUCAACAGGUCCUACCCCGAAUUCAUCAAUCGUUAAAGUUGCAGCUGUAACCUGCCCAGUUAUGCUAGGGUUUACUAUUCCAUUACUUUUAUUCAUCACUAUAGCUUCUCCACCUGCACCCUCAUCGAUUCUAGCUUCUUUAGGUGACCACUUACCUACUCCAAUUGACCCUAUUGUGUGUUGCAUCAUGGUUAUUUGUAAAAUAUCAACCCUAGUUUCCUGCACAUUAGGAUUUCCGGUAGCAAGGUCUUCCAAAUCGCCUUGUUUCUUUGCAUGUUGAUUGCCAGUUAUGGAAUUAUUUUUUGCAUUCUUUUCAGCUUCGUUGUUGAUCUACAACACCUCUACUUAUUCUCCCUAUGAUGCUCUUCUAUCACUUGUAUCUUCAGUAGCUCCCAAUCCCCUUGAAUUGUCAUCUAUUGUUUGUGAAGGUAUCUCUUGGCAUGAAUAAUUUUUGGUAAUUUGAUGUCUUCUCGAGAAGCUCCAAACCUUCUAGCAACCUAGUCAAUUGUUCUUUCCCUUCUUAUAUCCACCUCAUUCCCAGUAUUCUUAGGAUUAGGGCUUGAAACAGCUGACUCCUUACGAAUCCCUUCUCCAGUAGGAUUUGAAGUCACAUCCUUAGCCAGUAAACUAAUCCCGGUUUCCUUAGGAUUAGAGCUGGAAUCUCUAGCAUUUUUCAAAUGCUUCUUCUCCUUUUCUUUGUUGGCUUAGUUUUCCAGUUUCCUCUUUUCAUUUUCCUUGCCCUUAUCAUUACCUUUUCCAUCAGUGAUUCCCAACGUUGGUUGUUUAAGUUCUUCAACUUCUAAAGAGAAAAUUUAUUCUUUGUUGAAACUCCUUGGUCAUUGCCCUUAUCCUCCACAUAUAUAGAUCACCUCUUUACCAGUUGUUUGUUCAAUAAUGUACCCUCUUUUGUCUCGUUGAUAUUUAUUCUUCCUCCUUUGCAUCCAUUUUUGCCUAGCAUUAUUAGGAAGUGGUUUCCCCAGGACUUCACCACUAGGUAGAACUUUUGUAGUAGCCGCAGUACCAACCUGCUCCUUUCCCUUUCCCUCAUCAACUACAGCUUCUUCAAAUUGCCUGAGCUCAGGAUUAACUACCCGACACUCACUCUAUUUAUGCCCUUGCCUUUUAAAAGUUCUACAAUAUAUUUAAGCAUGUAUCCAUACCUAAUUUUAAUCCACUUUGAUUAUUCAGGUCCAGUCUCAUCCUCAUACUCUACAAUUUUGAUUCUUUGUGGAAAAUUUGAUAAUAAAUUUACCUCCAUCUUAACCUUAGCACAACUAGAUCGUGUGCCAUUUUGUGUAGCCAAAUCAACAUGUAAAGGUGUUCCAAUUUCCCUAGACAAAGAAAAUACGAAAUCCUUACUAAAGAAGUUGUGAGGCAAGUCUUCAAAGGAUAUCCAUGAUAUGGCUACAGGAGUUUCUUCUUCAGGUUUCCACCAUGGAUUCCACUUGGUGUAUCUUAUAUGCCACAUAUCUCCUUGAACUUUUAAAUAAAAGGUUGACUUUGACAAUAAGUGAAUGUAAUCCUCUAUUAAUGAAAGCUUAAUAAGAACAUGACUAUCCUCGAUCAAUCCAAUAAAAUAAGGACCCUUCAGUUCACAUUGAAUUGGUAUUGCCUUGCGUAAUUCUUGAAUAACUUGUUUGACAUAAGAAAACUUGAAGAACAACCAAUUGUAAUCCUUGUUGGGCAAUGGAUUGCUUCACUUCAUUCUUCUUCCAACAUACAAUGGGCCCUCCAUGAAGAUACUCGAUUGGUUUUAGGGCUACGUGAGUCGACGACUGCAUGUCAUCAUUUAAUGUUGUAUGUUUUACUAAUUGCGCAUAGUUUUAGAUUAUUUUUGAGCUCGUAGAUGCUUGGAGGGGGGUGGUAGGGAUGACUGACCAGCCUCAAGAGGAGUCUGGCCAGUGGCCGGAGCAACCAUUAAUGGCACGAUAUCUACGAGCACAAUCUUUCUCUUUUCGCCAAUCACUAGAGCUAGGGUUACUAGGUUAGUCUUAAUUGAAUCGCCUCCAAUUCUUUCUUUGCUGCCAGGCUUGUUUUUUUUUUCUUCUUUAAUUCUUUGCUUGGAAUUGUAUUUCCCUUGUUUUUUAUGUCUUCCACUUGUGGGGACAAACACCAAAAGGUCCCCCCCCCUCCCCCCUUCUCCUUCUUUCAUUGGUUUAUUUCCCUUAUUUUUCUUCAGCUUUUUAUUUAAUUUUGUUCCAAAUCUCUUCACCUUCACAUUAUCUUAUUACUAUACAAUUAAAAUAUAAUAUUAAGUAUAAAUUAAUAUAAUUAAUACUCAAAAAAUGAUUAAAAGUACUAAACGUGAGGCAGCAAUGGUUAAAUUACUUAAAUAUAUGCAUUUUCUAGCGAAACAUCAAAUACCCAAGAUUAUUUUUUUCCAAUUUGAUUAAGGUGUAAAAGACAAUAAAUUAUUAAAUUUUAAAAUCUCAAAUGAAACUCAUAUUUCAUCAAUUAAAAUUAUAUUUAAAAAAACUAAUACAAUAUUAAUAAGGUGGAAUGUGUGGAAAAUGGUAGAAUACAUAAAAUUUUAACUUCAUCUUUUAAUUUCUCCCCUUCUAAAUUAACAACAGUUUUUCUCGUUCCAAAUUCCUCUUAGAAACUCGCUAAAUUUAUUAAAGUUAUGUCUCUAAUAAAAUAUAAUUAAUAGAUGACUCCUUUGGUUAUAAUAGAAUAACGAACAAAAAGUAUUUGACUGAAACUGUUAUAGAAAGGAAAUUUUAAAAAGAAUAUAUCGUUAUAUUAAUCAAUGUUGCUAUUAUAAGUAAAAGGUUGUUAUAAAUAGAUAAAAUAUAACAUAAAUAUUAGUUCCAAAUUAAAGUUUGCAGUCAUAAUAAAAUGCUAGCAUUAUCGAGGGUUAUUGUUACAUAUAAGUCUGAUUGCAUAUAGAAUUUCCUUUACAUCAUGGUAGAACCAAAAGUACACGGACAAAUACAUCAAUGAAAUGAAAAACCAAAAUCGUCAGAUCAAAAAAUUACUUAAAAGAACAAAAUAAUGUUAGAAAGAAGAAAGAGUAAACAAGAGACAAACAAAGAAACCUAUUAGAUUAGUUUAGGGAAAGUUGCGAUAAAUUUAUCCGUUACAAUAUGGAGUAUACUUUCUAGUUUCUGCCAAUUCAUAUUUAGGAUAAACCCAAUCAAUUUUGAAUGUCGAGCUAUCGGCCAUCCUCUAAGGUAACUGUCAACUCAUUGUUGGAGUUGAUGUAUGGUUUACUAGACGACGAAGUUGAUGUGCUACAAGCACGUGUUCUUGCUGUAAAAGCAGGUUUAUUAGGUUUUGGAAGAGAUGUGUUUUUAUUACUAAGCAUUAUAGUUACAUCUGGCAUGCUUGGACGAAUGCCAGCAUCUUCUUGGACACACAAGAGCGCAAUAUUAAUGCAUUUUAAUGCAUCUUCCUCAUUGCAUGAUUCAAGU